UACAGAGGGUGCAAGCGUUGUUCGGAAUUAUUGGGCGUAAAGCGCGUGUAGGCGGCUUUGCAAGUCGGAUGUGAAAGCCCUCGGCUCAACCGAGGAAGUGCGUUCGAAAACUGUGGAGCUUGAAUGCCGGAGGGGCCCAGAGAAUUCCCGGUGUAGAGGUGAAAUUCGUAGAUAUCGGGAGGAACACCAGUGGCGAAGGCGGCGAUCUGGGUCGAUACUGACGCUGAGGUGCGAAAGCGUGGGGAGCAAACAGG
rnacentral:rRNA from 1 species